UACGUAGGGUCCGAGCGUUGUCCGGAAUUACUGGGCGUAAAGGGCGCGUAGGCGGCCUUCUAAGUCGAACGUGAAAUCCCCGGGCUCAACCCGGGAACUGCGUCCGAGACUGAAAGGCUUGAAUCCGGGAGAGGGAUGUGGAAUUCCAGGUGUAGCGGUGAAAUGCGUAGAUAUCUGGAGGAACAUCGGUGGCGAAGGCGGCAUCCUGGACCGGUAUUGACGCUGAGGCGCGAAAAGCCAGGGGAGCAAACGGG
rnacentral:rRNA from 1 species